CCGUAACUAUAACGGUCCUAAGGUAGCGAAAUUCCUUGUCGGGUAAGUUCCGACCCGCACGAAAGGUGUAACGAUUUGGGCACUGUCUCAACGAGGGACCCGGUGAAAUUGAAAUACCUGUGAAGAUGCAGGUUACCCGCGACUGGACAGAAAGACCCCAUGGAGCUUUACUGUAACCUGACAUUGGGUUUUGUUGUAUUACGUACAGGAUAGGUGGGAGGCUUAGAAGGCUGGACGCUAGUCUGGCUGGAGCCGGCGUUGGGAUACCACCCUUGAUACAACGGAAUUCUAACCGAGAGAGUAACGAAAUCCGGGACAGUGUCAGGCGGGCAGUUUGACUGGGGCGGUCGCCUCCGAAAGAGUAACGGAGGCGCCCAAAGGUUCCCUCAGCGCGGCCGGAAAUCGCGCGAAGAGUGUAAAGGCAGAAGGGAGCUUGACUGCGAGCCAAACACGGCGAGCAGGUACGAAAGUAGGGCUUAGUGAUCCGGUGGUACCGAGUGGAAGGGCCAUCGCUCAACGGAUAAAAGCUACCCCGGGGAUAACAGGCUAAUCUCUCCCAAGAGUCCAUAUCGACGGGGAGGUUUGGCACCUCGAUGUCGGCUCAUCACAUCCUGGGGCUGAAGUCGGUCCCAAGGGUUGGGCUGUUCGCCCAUUAAAGUGGUACGUGAGCUGGGUUCAGAACGUCGUGAGACAGUUCGGUCCCUAUCCAUCGCGGGCGCAAGAGAUUUGAAGGGGUCUGCUCCUAGUACGAGAGGACCGGAGUGGACGGACCGCUGGUGUACCAGUUAUUCCGCCAGGAGUACAGCUGGGUAGCUACGUCCGGACUGGAUAAACGCUGAAAGCAUCUAAGCGUGAAGCCAUCCUUAAGAUGAGAUCUCUCACAGAGUAAUCUGGUAAGACACCUUAAAGAAGAUGAGGUAGAUAGGCCGGGAGUGUAAGUGCAGCAAUGUAUUGAGCUGACCGGUACUAAUAUGUCGAGGGC
rnacentral:rRNA from 1 species